rfam:Alligator sinensis unplaced genomic scaffold scaffold516_1, whole genome shotgun sequence
GGUAGCAGGGCCGAGCAGUCCAAGGGGCUGGAUUUAGGCUCCAGUCUCUGCGGGGGUGUGGGUUCAAGUCCCACCGCUGCCA